CCUACGGGAGGCAGCAGUGAGGAAUAUUGGUCAAUGGGCGUGAGCCUGAACCAGCCAAGCCGCGUGAAGGAAGAAGGCGCCAUGCGUCGUAAACUUCUUUUAUCGGGGAACAAAGUGCGCCACGCGUGGCGUUUUGAGUGUACCCGAAGAAAAAGCAUCGGCUAACUCCGUGCCAGCAGCCGCGGUAAUACGGAGGAUGCGAGCGUUAUCCGGAUUUAUUGGGUUUAAAGGGUGCGUAGGCGGUCCGGAAAGUCAGCGGUAAACGCCCGGGGCUCAACCCCGGCGAGCCGUUGAAACUGUCGGACUAGAGACGGCGAGAAGUACGCGGAAUGCGCGGUGUAGCGGUGAAAUGCAUAGAUAUCGCGCAGAACUCCGAUUGCGAAGGCAGCGUACCGGCGCCGGACUGACGCUGAGGCACGAAAGCGUGGGUAUCGAACAGGAUUAGAUACCCUAGUAGUU
rnacentral:rRNA from 1 species